rnacentral:misc_RNA from 1 species
UUUCCGUAGGUGAACCUGCGGAAGGAUCAUUGUCGAAACCUGCCCAGCAGAACAACCCGCGAACUUGUAUAAACAACUGGGGGCGGGGGGCGUUCUCGCCCCGUGCCCCCGAACGGCGGGGAGACACUCGUGCCUUCUUGCCGAACAACGAACCCCGGCGCGGUCUGCGCCAAGGAACUUCAACUAAAGAGUGCCUCCGGUCGCCUCGGAAACGGCGUGCGUGCCGAAGGCGAAUCUUGUGCAAAACCAUAACGACUCUCGGCAACGAAUAUCUCGGCUCUC